GAUGAAGAACGUAGCGAAAUGCGAUAAGUAAUGUGAAUUGCAGAAUUCAGUGAAUCAUCGAAUCUUUGAACGCACAUUGCGCCCCUUGGUAUUCCGGGGGGCAUGCCUGUUCGAGCGUCAUUUCAACCCUCAAGCUCUGCUUGGUAUUGGGCACCGUCCUUUGCGGGCGCGCCUCAAAGACCUCGGCGGUGGCGUCUUGCCUCAAGCGUAGUAGAAUACACCUCGCUUCGGAGCGUAAGGCGUCGCCCGCCGGACGAACCUUCUGAACUUUUCUCAAGGUUGACCUCGGAUCAGGUAGGGAUACCCGCUGAACUUAAACAUAUCAAUAAGCGGAGGA
rnacentral:misc_RNA from 1 species